rnacentral:rRNA from 1 species
GGCCUGUUGAUUAUAAUUUUAGGUCUAGCCUGCCCUAUGAGUAGUUAAAUGGCCGCGGUAUAUUGACCGUGCAAAGGUAGCAUAAUCAUUAGUUUUUUAAUUGAAAGCUUGUAUGAAAGGUUUGAUGAGGAAAUUUCUGUCUCUGUGGAAAUUUAUUAGAAUUUUAUUUUUAAGUGAAAAAGCUUAAAUAAUCAUAGAAGACGAGAAGACCCUAUAGAGUUUUAUAUUUUUUUAAGUUUAGAAUUUAUAGGUUUAAAAAUUUUUGGAUUUAGAAUAGUAUUUUAUUGGGGUGAUAGGAAAAUUUAAUAAACUUUUCUUUAUAAUAACAUUUGUUUAUGAGUUUAUGGUCCUAGAAUUUAGAUUAUAAGACAAAAUUACCUUAGGGAUAACAGCGUAAUCCUUUUUAGAGUUCUUAUCGAAAAAAGGGGUUGCGACCUCGAUGUUGGAUUAAAAUUUAUUGCUGGUGUAGAGGCUAGUAAAUUAGGUCUGUUCGACCUUUAAAAUUUUACAUGAUCUGAGUUUAAACCGGCGUGAG